AUUGAACGCUGGCGGCAGGCCUAACACAUGCAAGUCGAACGAGUGGCGGACGGGUGAGUAAUGUCUGGGAAACUGCCUGAUGGAGGGGGAUAACUACUGGAAACGGUAGCUAAUACCGCAUACCCUCAGAUGUGCCGUUAUGUGAUUAGCUAGUUGGUGGGGUAACGGCUCACCAAGGCGACGAUCCCUAGCUGGUCUGCUAGGAUGACCAGCCACACUGGAACUGAGCCACGGUCCAGGAUAAUACGGGAGGCAGCAGUGGGGAAUAUUACACAAUGGGCGCGAGCCUGAUGAAGCCAUGCAGCGUGUAUGAAGAAGGCCUUCGGGUUGUAAAGUACGUUCAGCGGGUAGGCGUUACCCGCAGAAGAAGCACAGGCUAACUCCGUGCCAGCAGCCGCGGUAAUAC
rnacentral:rRNA from 1 species